rnacentral:misc_RNA from 1 species
GGUGAAUCAUCGAAUCUUUGAACGCACAUUGCGCCUCUUGGUAUUCCAGGAGGCACGCCUGUCCGAGCGCCAUUACGUCAUCCAAGCCCAGCUUGAUGUUGGACGUUGUAUUCUGUAGAAGGAGUACACGUCUGGAACGUUUCGGCGUCCUGUCGCGGAUCUCCGAGUGUAGCACGAUUUACAUCAUUUUCACUUGGCAGAGCCUCAGCAGACAGCAACCAACCUUUUUUGAAAUAUCAAAGUUUGGCCUCGGAUCAGGCGGGGAUACCCGCUGAACUUAAGCAUAUCAAUAAGCGGAGG